rnacentral:rRNA from 1 species
UACGUAGGGUGCAAGCGUUGUCCGGAAUUAUUGGGCGUAAAGAGCUCGUAGGCGGUUUGUUGCGUCGGCUGUGAAAACCCGCGGCUCAACUGCGGGCUUGCAGCCGAUACGGGCAGGCUAGAGUUCGGUAGGGGAGACUGGAAUUCCUGGUGUAGCGGUGAAAUGCGCAGAUAUCAGGAGGAACACCGGUGGCGAAGGCGGGUCUCUGGGCCGAUACUGACGCUGAGGAGCGAAAGCGUGGGGAGCGAACAGG